UUAUAAGUGUGAAUUAUUAAGUUAAAAAACUAUAAAUCAAAGUUUCAUGGUAUUUAAGUACUUAUUUUGUGAGAUAUGAAGAAAUUAGCAUGCAAGUAUAUAUAAGCUAGGGUUUAAAGCUACUGUUAGGAUUUUGGCAAUAUCUCAAGAUUCAUAAUGAAUUUGUAGUUGUAUUUUUUUUGUGGAAGUUUUUGAAAAUAUAUCAGUACUUUAUGUAAAAUUAAAGAUUGUUUGGAUGGUCCGAUCAUGAGAUAUGAGCUAUUGAAGUUCAGAAAAUAUACCUCAUAAGGAUAUAUAAGGUUUUAAGUUACUUUAUCAUAUAUUUAGGUAUUUUCUUGGUACUUGGAUUAAUGUUUUUAUGUAAUUUAUCAAAAAAAAAAAAAUAUUAUAUGUAUAAUUUUGGUUUUUAGAUCUUAGACUUGAUUGAGUAUUUAGUGGUAGCCAGAAGCCCAGUGCUUUCUUG
rnacentral:lncRNA from 1 species